ensembl:misc_RNA
UCCCUAGUCACUGAACAGAUACAAGAACAGACAGUGGCAGUACAAGUUCUCCACACUGUCUUCUUAAUAUGCUUCGACUCUGACCUGGAAAGUAACAGCCUUGCUGCUGAGA